rnacentral:rRNA from 1 species
GAUGAACGCUGGCGGCGUGCCUAAUACAUGCAAGUCGAGCGAACGGACGAGAAGCUUUCUUCUUUGAUGUUAGCGGGGGACGGGUGGGUAACACGUGGAUCACCUUCCUAUUAGACUUGGGUAACUUCGGGGAAACGGAGCCAAUACCGCAUCAUAUUUUGAACCGCAUGGUUCAAAAGUGAAAGACGGUCUUGCUGUUCCAUAUAGAUGGUGCCGCGCUGCAUUAGCUAGUUGGUAAGGUAACGGCUUACCAAGGCAACGAUGCAUAGCCGACCUGAGAGGGUGAUCGGCCACACUGGAACUGAGACACGGUCCAGACUCCUACGGGAGGCAGCAGUAGGGAAUCUUCCGCAAUGGGCGAAAGCCUGACGGAGCAACGCCGCGUGGGUGAUGAAGGUCUUCGGAUCGUAAAGCUCUGUUAUUAGGGAAGAACAGAUGUGUAAGUAAAUGUGGACAUCUUGACGGUACCUAAUCAGAAAGCCACGGCUAACUACGUG